rnacentral:rRNA from 1 species
ACAUCCAGAGAAUUUAGCAGAGAUGCUUUAGUGCCUUCGGGAACUCUGAGACAGGUGCUGCAUGGCUGUCGUCAGCUCGUGUUGUGAAAUGUUGGGUUAAGUCCCGNAACGAGCGCAACCCUUAUCCUUUGUUGCCAGCACGUAAUGGUGGGAACUCAAAGGAGGCUGCCGGUGAUAAACCGGAGGAAGGUGGGGAUGACGUCAAGUCAUCAUGGCCCUUACGAGUAGGGCUACACACGUGCUACAAUGGCGCAUACAAAGAGAAGCGACCUCGCGAGAGCAAGCGGACCUCAUAAAGUGCGUCGUAGUCCGGAUUGGAGUCUGCAACUCGACUCCAUGAAGUCGGAAUCGCUAGUAAUCGUAAAUCAGAAUGUUACGGUGAAUACGUUCCCGGGCCUUGUACACACCGCCCGUCACACCAUGGGAGUGGGUUGCAAAAGAAGUAGAUAGCUUAACCUUCGGGAGGGCGUUUACCACUUUGUGAUUCAUGACUGGGGUGAAGUCGUAACAAGGUAGGCGUAGUGCU